rnacentral:rRNA from 1 species
UACGUAGGGUGCAAGCGUUAAUCGGAAUUACUGGGCGUAAAGCGUGCGCAGGCGGUUUUGUAAGUCUGUCGUGAAAUCCCCGGGCUCAACCUGGGAAUUGCGAUGGAGACUGCAAGGCUAGAAUCUGGCAGAGGGGGGUAGAAUUCCACGUGUAGCAGUGAAAUGCGUAGAGAUGUGGAGGAACACCGAUGGCGAAGGCAGCCCCCUGGGUCAAGAUUGACGCUCAUGCACGGAAGCGUGGGGAGCAAACAGG